UACGUAGGUGGCAAGCGUUGUCCGGAAUUAUUGGGCGUAAAGCGCGCGCAGGCGGUCAAUUAAGUUGGGUGUUUAAGCCCGGGGCUCAACCCCGGUUCGCAUCCAAAACUGGUUGACUUGAGUGUAGGAGAGGAAAGUGGAAUUCCACGUGUAGCGGUGAAAUGCGUAGAGAUGUGGAGGAACACCAGUGGCGAAGGCGACUUUCUGGCCUAUAACUGACGCUGAGGCGCGAAAGCGUGGGGAGCAAACAGG
rnacentral:rRNA from 1 species